AUUGAACGCUGGCGGCAUGCUUUACACAUGCAAGUCGAACGGUAACAGGCCGCAAGGUGCUGACGAGUGGCGAAGGGGUGAGUAAGGCAACGGCACGUGCCCAGCCGUGGGGGAUCACUAAUCGAAAGAGUAGCUAAUACCGCAUACGAUCUAAGGAUGAAAACGGGGGAGCGCAAGGCCUCGCGCGAUUGUAGCGGCCGCUGUCAGAUUAGGUAGUUGGUGGGGUAAAGGCUCACCAAGCCAACGAUCUGUAGCUGGUCUGAGAGGACGACCAGCCACACUGGGACUGAGACACGGCCCAGACUCCUACGGGAGGCAGCAGUGGGGAAUUUUGGACAAUGGGCGAAAGCCUGAUCGAGCAAUGCCGCGUGAAGGAAGAAGGCCUUCGGGUUGUAAACUGCUUUUGUUCGGAACGAAACGGCUCGGGUUAAUACACGGGGCUAAUGACGGUACCGUAAGAAUAAGCACCGGCUAACUACGUG
rnacentral:rRNA from 1 species